CUGCACACCUGUUGUGCAUUGAGUAAUCAGUGUGCAUUGGUUAGACCAGCCAUCACUACACAGACCCUUGCCAUGUUCAGUAUCAAACCUGUGCAAUAAAACAGAUUUUUAAUGGAAUGGAGGAGCCCAAAAUAAGUCAUCUAGGUGGAUCGUGACAGCCAGCUUGUUGUGGUGAAGCAUGGACAUUUGCUACACUAGGACAGCCUUUCCAGACCACUGGGGACCCAAAAGUGCUGUCUAGGGACCCACAGGCCAGCAGCAGCAACAACGGACAGCCACCAACCAGCACCAGUCCUUUCCACAACAACAGUUAAGGAGCCGAGCGGAGGAUGGGAGAGGCAGCCCUGCAACUAGCCGCCCCUGCAUUCAGCACGCAGCAACCCAGGCCAAGCCACCCCUCAGCCAGUCAGAACAGGAGCAAUGGGCCCCAUGCUUGAGGGAGAAGGGGAAGGCCCUGUCGCCCUGGGAGAGGCUGGUCCUACAUCGGCCUGUUUCCGACCCUCCGAAGAGCUACCGCCGCAGUCACGCUGAAACCUCGACCCAACCUGCCCCGUCCAGACAGCCCUGCAACGUUCGUCGACACCUCACCCAGGCAGGGCAGAAUCCCAGGCCUCCAGUUUCCAGGGUGGAGGGGGAGGUUGGGUUGGUGUGUAACCCUGGGGGUUGUGAUGACAAUUGGAUUUGGGUUUUUUAUUUAGUCUAGUUAUGGUAACCCUGGUCAGAGUCCGUUUAAGUUGGGUAUGGUAAUGCUGGUCAGUCUAGUUUAUGUAUUAUUUUUUUGGGAUGGGAGGGAUGGGAAGUAGGCUAUGGCUGGGGAAUCUCCCCAGCCUCAAUUUGGUGUUGGGGGUAUGUGGGAGUGUGUGGAUGAUGGAUGGUUUAAGCAGUCACACUUGACACAAGGCAGACUAAUUGGACUCUUGGGCUGGGUGAGGCUGCACACCUGUUGCACAUUGAUCAAUGUGCACAGGUUAAACCAGCCAUCACCACACGCACUCGGGAGAGAAGUUUAUCUAUCUUUUUUUUACAUGUCCAUUCUACACUCCACCUCGGUGACUUAUUUUGGGCUCGUCCAGACAACGGACUGCAAAGGUUGGAUAUGACUUAGGCCAUUUGACAGUGGUGCACCACUUCCGUUGAACUACUGGUAUUCAAUUCUACGACAGAAUUGAAUACCAGUAGUGGUCCACUACAUAAUAUUCCAAUAUUAUACAUUAGAACAAUAUGACCUAUUAUUCUGCCGUGAUCAAUGCACAACAGGUGUGCAGCCUCACCCAGCCCCAGAGUCAAAUCAGAAUCGGCCAGGUGAGGCUGCUUAAGCCAGCCAUCAUCCACACACACUCCCACAAUAGCUUACAAGUAAAAAUUUAAGUUAAAAUCCCGUCCUCUUGAGAGCCUGAUCCGUUCUGGGCUACUGUAGAAACAUGGCUGGGCAACAUGGUGGGUGUUCCGUGCAAGAGGACCGUAUUUAGACAUAAAGAGCUCAUUCUACGGUAAUAUAAGUGCAAUGAUUCUAAUUUGUAUUUAACAGUAAUUAAAACAUGCAUAUGAAUAUUAUAUUCCAUUUCUGCGUAGUCUGUUCUGCUAUAGGCUACAAACCCUACACAUUUCACCAUUGAAUAAAGGGACCAAAUGAAGAAAGACUUUUUGUAAGGUUCAAGUUAUAUUUCUUUGAGUUAAGGCCGAAAGAAAACAGUAGUGACAGCAAUAUCGGGAAACUGUUGAUUCUGGAAUGAAAGCAAAUGAGACAUUCUGCAUAACUUCUAUCAGAGGUGACUGAAGGGUCACCACUGAUAGAAGGUAUGAAGAAUGUCUAAUUUGACUCUCCAGUCACCUCUGUGAUGCAUUUUGUGCC
ensembl:lncRNA